UGCCUACGGGAGGCAGCAGUGAGGAAUAUUGGUCAAUGGGCUUACGCCUGAACCAGCCAAGUCGCGUGAGGGAAGACUGCCCUAUGGGUUGUAAACCUCUUUUGUCAGGGAGCAAUUGGCGCUACGUGUAGCGUUAUCGAGAGUACCUGAAGAAAAAGCAUCGGCUAACUACGUGCCAGCAGCCGCGGUAAUACGUAGGUGGCAAGCGUUAUCCGGAAUGAUUGGGCGUAAAGGGUGCGUAGGCGGCCUGCUAAGUCUGGAGGGAAAGGUACCGGCUCAACCGGAACAGGGUC
rnacentral:rRNA from 1 species